rnacentral:misc_RNA from 1 species
CACUACUUUUCAGUCACCAUCUUUCGCCAUCAAUAAAACUUGGCUAGGCUGCCCCCCCUCUCUGUCUCUCUCCUCUCUUUAUCUUUUCUGUGUGUGUAUUUUUGCAUUUUGGUCUUUCUUUUCUUUAUAUUAUUUUGUUCUUUCACACACACAGAAUCAGCUGGGUGAUACGCUGUGUCAGGCGAAGAAGAGUGCGGAAAUUGAGAGAGAGAGAGAGAAGACUUCAGCAUGAAAAAACCGCACGAGAGUGAUCUGGAGGGGGAACUCUAAGUUCCUUUUUUGUUUUCAUUUUAUUAUAUUACUUGUUGCAGCCAAAACAUUGAGGAAGAUCAGCGCCAGAGAGUCAAGAACCAUUCAUGGGUGUUUCGAUUAGAGAGG